rnacentral:rRNA from 1 species
AGGUGAAAUUUGGUUCCUGAAAGUGUCUGGUAUUAUUUAUAAGAGUGUUAUAUCUACGGAGGUUAAAGUAUAAAUCAGGAUUAGAUACCCUGUUAUUUUUAACUUUAAAUUAAUAGCUUGAAUAGUAAACAGUUAUGAUCUCGAAACUUAAAGAAUUUGGCGGUACUUUAGUCUAGUUAGAGGAACCUGUUCAGUAAACGAUACUCCACGAAUAAUCUUACUUUCUCUAGUUAUUGUGCAGUUUGUAUACCUCCAUUUGUCUAAGUAAUUUCAAAAGAAUAUACUGAAAUAAUUGAAUCUUUAGUUAAUAAUUUAGGUCAAGGUGCAGCUUAUGAGAAAGAAUGAAAUGGGUUACAGUAAAAUGAGUUUAUGUACGGAUAAUAAGGUUAAAUACUUUUUUGAAGGUGGAUUUAAUAGUAAUUUUAUUUUAAUAUGAUAAUUUGAAAUUAGCUCUAAGGUGUGUA